CAAAUUAGGUCCCUGAGUAAACAGAAAUAAGAUUAGACAUCUUCUCGUAUCGGCUGACGGCUCCACAGACUGGUCAUAACCAUUAGUAGCGUUUCUCGUGUCUGAUGGAACCCAAUGUCAGCCUAAAAACUACAUGCUCUGGAGUCAUGAGGUAUAUGGAUAUCCAUGGCAAUUCUGUGGCUAAUACAUGAAACUUAUAACUGGUCCACCUGCGCAGGCGCGGGACCUUUUUUCCCCACCUCCUUUUCCCUUUCGGGGGACUAGGGAAUGGGGAAAAAGAUCCACAAAAAACGCGCUUGCUUGGUGGGCCGGGGAGUGUGAGGUUCAAAACUGGCUUGGUUACAUCGGGACAGAACGCACAUCCUUUACCCUGCUCCGUGUCCUCUCCGUAAGGGGGGGAUCCGGGCGCACUGGGGAGGCACCUUCAUCUGCACAAUCUUGUGAACCCAUGGGUUUCUCUUUCCCCAUCUUCCUUCCGAGGAAGGAGGGUAUCGAGGUUCCUGAGGGAUCCUUGGGAUUCGGGUGGAGGUGCCCUCUCGGUGGGUCACUGUUCGAGUUUCCAACCUAUCAACUAAAAUGUGGCGUAAUGGAUUGCUAUGGUUACCACGGGUACAGAUGAUUAGGGUUCGAUCCUGAAGAGCGGCCCUGACAGAUUGCUCAUACUUCUCAUGAAUGAAGCACGCGCGCAACGUUCCCACUGGGCUAUUGCACCAAGGCCUUCACGGCAUAUACGAAUGGCCUCCCAAAUAGUGCCCACUUCUAUUGCGUUCACUGUAACUAAUGAAUGAGUAACCUUACAGGACAAGUCUGGGUUGCUAUAAAUAAUUGAAUUUACUAUUGCACCCCCCGACAUAUGUGUGACUUGAUUAUACUGCGCCAGGAAAAAAUUAAGUCCGGGAAUGAUCCCAUGAAGAUCCUACAAUGGCCCGCACACGAAAAAUUUAAUGGUGCAACUAUAUU
rnacentral:rRNA from 1 species